GAUGAACGCUGGCGACGCACAUAAGACAUGCAAGUCGAACGAACUUAAUCGAAAGUUUACUUUUGAAGCGGUUAGUGGCGGACUGGUGAGUAACACGUAAGCAACCUGCCUAUCAGAGGGGAAUAACAGUGAGAAAUCAUUGCUAAUACCGCAUAUGCUCACAGUAUCGCAUGAUACAGUGAGGAAAGGAGUAAUCCACUGAUAGAUGGGCUUGCGUUUGAUUAGAUAGUUGGUGGGGUAACGGCCUACCAAGUCGACGAUCAGUAGCCGGACUGAGAGGCUGAACGGCCACAUUGGGACUGAGAUACGGCCCAGACUCCUACGGGAGGCAGCAGUCGGGAAUAUUGCGCAAUGGAGGAAACUCUGACGCAGUGACGCCGCGUGCAGGAAGAAGGUUUUCGGAUUGUAAACAGCUUUAGUCAAGGAAGAUACAAGACAGUACUUGAAGAAUAAGCACCGGCUAACUAUGUGCCAGCCGCCGCUGUAAAAC
rnacentral:rRNA from 1 species